UACCUGCGAGAAACAGGAAGUGAGAUUUUGCAACAGGCAAAACCAAAAAAGCUACCAAAAAUCUCCCCCCCACCCCCUCUUAAACCCUAACCGUGUCCCACAUUCUUCACAUCCACCUUUUACUUUUCGGAUUAAGCUGCUCUGGUCACACAGAAGCAGGAGGCAUUCGGAGUUUCACCUGGGACCAGCCUGGCUCGGACCAGACCAGCACUGACCUCCUAAAGUCAAACUGCAAGUUUCGCUGGUCCAGAGAAGCUCAGUACUUGUAUCUUCGCCGGCUCUCCUCACGCAGCUACUCAGCGAUUACAAUGAACCCGGUCACGGAGGAGACCGUGUGGGAGCAAUACACCGUGACCCUGCAGAGGGUG